AACCCUCAGGAUGACCUGGACUACCUCGAUAUCCCGGCAUUCCUGCGUCGUCAGGCUGAUUAAUGGAAUUUAUCAGGGGUAUAAAGGUGAUUGGUAUUCAUCAAAGGUUGGGUCUGUUAUCAUCCCCAGCCUUUGUUGAUACCUGUUCGCAAUUUGCGCUGAAGCGGCCAAUGCCAUGAUUAAACAACGCACCCUGAAGAAUACCAUCCGUGCCACAGGUGUCGGUCUGCACUCCGGGGAGAAG
rnacentral:snoRNA from 1 species